UACGUAGGGGGGCUAGCGUUGUCCGGAAUCAUUGGGCGUAAAGCGCGUGUAGGCGGCCCGGUAAGUCCGCUGUAAAAGUCGGGGGGCUCAACCCUCGAAAGCCGGUGGAUACUGCCGGGCUAGAGUCCGGAAGAGGCGAGUGGAAUUCCUGGUGUAGCGGUGGAAUGCGCAGAUAUCAGGAGGAACACCGGUGGCGAAGGCGGGUCUCUGGGCCGAUACUGGCGCUGAGGAGCGAAAAGCUAGGGGGAGCAAACGGG
rnacentral:rRNA from 1 species